rnacentral:rRNA from 1 species
CCUACGGGCGGCAGCAGUGAGGAAUAUUGGUCAAUGGGCGAGAGCCUGAACCAGCCAAGUCGCGUGAGGGAGUACUGCCCUAUGGGUUGUAAACCUCUUUUGCCGGGGAGCAAAAGCCGGACGUGUUCGGCUGUGAGAGUACCCGAAGAAAAAGCAUCGGCAAACUCGGUGCCAGCAGCCGCGGUAAUACGGAGGAUGCGAGCGUUAUCCGGAUUUAUUGGGUUAAAGGGGUGCGCAGGCGGAUUUUUAAGUCAGCGGUCAAAUCGUGGGGCUCAACCCCAUCCAGCCGUUGAAACUGGGGGUCUAGAGUGUGCGUGAGGUAUGCGGAAUGCGUGGUGUAGCGGUGAAAUGCAUAGAUAUCACGCAGAACCCCGAUUGCGAAGGCAGCAUACCAGUGCACAACUGACGCUCAGGCACGAAAGCGUGGGUAUCGAACAGGAUUAGAUACCCCAGUAGUC